rnacentral:rRNA from 1 species
UACAGAGGUCUCAAGCGUUGUUCGGAUUCAUUGGGCGUAAAGGGUGCGUAGGUGGCGCGGUAAGUCGGGUGUGAAAUUUCGGAGCUUAACUCCGAAACUGCAUUCGAUACUGCCGUGCUUGAGGACUGGAGAGGAGACUGGAAUUUACGGUGUAGCAGUGAAAUGCGUAGAUAUCGGGAGGAACACCGGUGGCGAAGGCGGUUCUCUGGGCAUUACCUGACGCUGAGGAGCGAAAGCGUGGGGAGCGAACAGG